CCUUGGGUCCCGAGGAGUGACAACCAGCAAAGCCAUGUGAGAGCCACCGAGCUCCGAAGAUCUGCCUUGGAUCUCACACAGGGAGCAAAUGUCAUGUGUGACAAGCACACUUCCUCGGAUACCCUCCUUCAGCACAGGGGAGGCCAAAAGCAGCGAGGCCCCCGGCUCCACCUUGCCACGAGCAGUGCCGAUACGUGAGCACCUGGCUUUUGUGCUGCGGGUCUUUCCCUUGGCUCUUCCUCUCCUGUUUUCACGGAGAUGAUGCUGAGUUUGUUUUUCAGCACGGCGAAGGAGGAGUAAUAAUUUCCGUGUGGGCCACCCUGCCAAGAGGACGUGCUUCGUGCCGGCUUACUGCGCUCAUCUCUUCUGGGACGGCUCCAGGCUGGCUGAGCAGAAUAUGCUAAGAAAGCGAUUCCAAGAAAAUCACAGUCAUCGUCAGAGGAAGGUGCCCAUGAAACUACGUCCUGGCAUCUUAUCUGGAGCAAGGAGGCUCGCGUGGCAGGCUGGCAAUGCAGUGCUAAGAAGAGAACUGCAGCCUGGCCAAGCCCGCAGCCCAAGGGAGCCGGGGCAGCCAAACAAUGCAGCUUUUUCUUGCUCCGUGGUGUGGGUCUUGUGGCACCAAGCUGGGGAGAGCUCUGCAAGCCACAAUGGAGAAAAUAACAGGAACUGCCCCAAGUCUGCUGAAUAGGGAAAUGCCAUCCCAAUCAUUCAGAAAAGAAUUUAAAAAGAAAAAAAAAAAAAAGAAUGAGAUGAGAAAUUGGAAGUGCUUUCAAAGCAGCACAGUGCCAAAGGAAGGCAGCCCAGAAAGGUCCCAGAGAUCUAAUUAUAGUCUGCAAUCAAUGCUGCUCUUAUCCGUGCUGCUAAUGAACAUACAUGAGGCAAGCAGUUUUGCAGCUCCAGGGUUUCUUGCAGUCGAAAUAACAGCUCGGUAAUAACUAGCCGUCUUGCUUGAUUAGGGCUCGCUCUGCCUUCUCCCAGCUUCCCAGCCUUUGGUGCGUGCCCUCAGGGAGAAGUGGGAGCUGUAGCCAGGGCUGUUCAGGAUGGGGUAAGCAGCCAAAGCUCCGGCACAAAUGCAUUAAUGGCACACAGAGAGACAGGCAACGAGGGACAGGCCUCCCAAGGGCUGGAAAAUGCUAGCUGUCGGGAUGGGAAAGGACCCAGACUUCCCAGAAACUGCACCAGUGGGAGAAGAUCUUCCCUCAUGGAAUAAAAAAGCGAUGCUCAUCCUGCUUUUUCAGGGAAUGAAGCUCAGAGAACAGGGGCUGGCACCUCUCUGCUCUCAGAUCAGCAGCUAAAAUGGACAGCAGAGUGUCUUCUGUUAAGGGCUACGUGCUAAUUCCAGGUGGCUGCUUCUUCCGACCCCAAGAAAAUAGAGCCUGACUUAUGGCUCGGGUCCAGUCAGCACCUGCCAAGUGGAAGGAGAUGCUGCUGCCACGCAGGAGCUGUCUUCGCAGGCAGCUGGAGCAGGCCAGAGGCAGUUCUCCAGCAUCUGCUCUUUCCAGCAUUCUCCUUGUUCCGAAGAAGAGAGCCUGGGGAGUCCCUCGGGCCAGAGAAGGAGCUGGAAGGAGCUGUGCUGGGAAUCUGCGCUUCAGCUCCCUCCAGCUUCAUGAAGCACAUGCCUUUCAAAAGGCAUUCUAGAAACAUAUGGCCUCAAUUUUCGCCUGGUUGGUGACAUUUCUUCCCUGCAUCGCCCGGAGGAAGCUGUUUGGGUGAUUAUUCAUCCCCACAACUCAAUAACCGCGCCAGUCUGGAGCGGUCUGGUUCCCCGGGGCUGCAGUUACAGCUUGAUCUGCUUGGCUGUGAAGUGAUCACUCCCUCCAUUCGGUGGGAAUGCUUGAGUGCUGGGUGUCUCCCUGGGCUUCAGGUUGAGCACUCUCCUUUUUCGUGGGGUCUGCACUGCAUCUGGGAACCCUGCUUGGUCACUGUUCAACCGUUCCCCUUGCUGGGUCGUCCGUACCUUGGAAAAUCCAGCUGCUGAUGGAGGCCACAUCCCAACUUCUUCCUUCUUCAUAUCGUUAAGGAAACAAAGGCGAUCCACUUGAGGAAUUUGCAAAGGGAGACACAGCCAAGCAGGAACACAAGCAGAAGAGCUGAAAAACAACCCCAGACAAGCCAGCUUAUGACCUCCGGUGCAUUUCAGAAGAAAAGAGCCUUUCUUUGGUUUGGCUACAGCUGGAGUUGGGUGGUGCCUCAGUUUAGAGUAAAGACUACACAGCAGCAGCAGAGCAAGGAGGAGACGUGUGACUAAUGUGUCGGAGGAGGGCUUGUCUGUAUCCCUGUUCCAGGAGCCCAAGCAUUUCACUGCUCCUUGGCUGGCCACCGGGGAGCAGAUUCAGGCGACCUGGCCUUCCCAAGGCCACUAUCAGCCAGGAGCAACGUGACUCAAUUAUCUCUGUUCAGAGGUGGCACAGAAAACCCUAAGGAUGCAGGGGUUUGGGAGCCUCAGAGAGGCUGUGUGUGUGAGAGACGGGGCCCAGAAGCACUCUAAGAAAUCUGCCUAUGUUUUGUGGAUAUGUUUUAACAGCAAGUGCACAAUCACACCUGCCACCAAGGGCUUUAUAAACACAGCAGUCCCCGUGUCUGCGUUCUCUAGCAAACACCACCUGGACAAGAGCUCUUUUUUUGGCCUUUCUAACAUCCCCUCACCUCCCCCAGCUGUCAGCAGGGUUAGCUCGGACUUCCUUAUCUCUGCAGCAGAAACUGUCACAUGGGGGUUUCAGCCACAAAACGCACAGGAAGCGUCUGACUGUGGUCACCUCACUCCAAAGCUCGGGUUCACGUUCAAAUGUGAAAGCAGCGCUGACCUGAAUCACCUGCAGGACACAGUGGGGCAGUGCAAAAAUAUUUUUACGAGCUUUUUUUCCCCUUAAAACCAGGAAAAAAAUGGAUGGUCUUUUGAAAGGGAAACCCCUGCUGUGUGAUUGAUUAAUAGGACAGUGCUAGUAAAAGAAUAUUUAAAACUUGAAGCACUUUUGAUGAUGCUUUUGAUGGCGAGAUAGGCAACACGACCAGCAGGAAAUGGUGUGCAAUAUCAGAGUGAUGUCAAUGUCAGGCAGAUAGCUGAGCCAUCAGCUUACACCCAGCUUCCUGGGUGCAUGCAGGUUUCUUAUUCCCCUGCAGCAGAGAGCAGCUUUAAAGAUUGAUCAAACAUCCUGCGCCUCACCUUGUCAGCAUUUUUUUUUUGUGUGUGAUGCAAAGACUGAGGGAGGAACCUGAGAAACCAAAAGCUUUCCUUCACCCAGCUGCUGUAGAGGGCAAGGCACCCAGGAAAGACAGCUUCCUCUUGUGAGAGCAGGAGGCUCCAAAAUAGCCACAGACUGCUUCUGUGCAGGGCAAGGGCUAAGCUCACUGCAAGGCUUCGUGGCAGGACAGGAAAUACCGUCUGCCAGCCCACACAAAGGCUGUGCUGUGCUUUAUUCCCUCCCCCCUGCUCUCUUUCUUACC